UUAGUGCUGUGGAGGCUGCAUGUGAUCAGCAGAUGAGAGGCACAUGGGCAGACUGAGGAACAGCACAUGCAAAGGAAGUGAUACAGCAGUGACUGGAGACCUGAGAGGGUAUAAAAGGAGUUACAGGUACCUGGGAGAGUGACUGUUUGGACCAGGUAGCAGGACUGCAGCAGUGCAAAGACAAGCAAACAAGUUUCUGUGCAGGGAAAGGAGCAGAGCCGGAACAGCUGAGCAGCAGAAUUGAACUGCGUUGGUAAAAGAGCUGAGGGCCUCCAGCACCAGAAGCAAGCAAUGGACAGAGGAUUAUUUCAGGCAGCUGUGGAAUACUAAUCCUGAUGGGUCCAGAUAAUAGGAAUAACCAGGAAACUCUAUCGAAUGCCUUUUCAACAUCUGUGUUAAGUAAAAGGGAGGGAAUGUUUUUCUUUUGGGCAUGGUGUAUUAAGGAGAUGAUUUUAGCUGUGUUUACCCUCUAUAUUAGGUACGAAGCCUGCCUGAUUUGGAUGGAUUAACGAAGAUUACUUCCCAUGAAAAUCAGUUUUCCCCUACGAACACAUUUUAGCGUUUCCCAUAGGGUUGCUGGUGGUAUUCCUUCUGAAGUGUUAGUUUGGAUAAUGUCAUUAAGCCACUUGUGUAUUUGCUGUCGUCUGUUAUCAUUAUGUAUUAAGGAGUCAUUUAGUCUCCAGUUGAACUCUUGUUUCAUAGUCUGUGGGAUGUAAAAUUUUAUUACUACUGGUGAGUGAUCAGAGUGGAGGGAUGAGCCAAUGUCUGCCUGAGUAAAUAAAUGUAACCAUUGUUGUGAAACAAAAAUAUAAUCAAUUCUCGAAUAAACCUUUUAUGCUUUUGGAAAAAUGUGUGU